GGCCCGGUAGCUCAGUUGGUAGAGCACUCGCUUGAAGAGCGAGGUGUCGUCAGUUCGAUCCUGACCUGGGCCACCA
rnacentral:tRNA from 1 species